UACACGGUUUCCUAAGACGGCGAGUGGACGGGAGAACUCAAUUUGAAAUCUGGCGUGCUCAGUGCGUCCGAGUUGUAAUCUAUAGAGUCGUUUUCCGUGCCGGACUGUGUCCAAGUCCCUUGGAACAGGGUAUCAAAGAGGGUGAUAAUCCCGUACUUGACACAAUGACCGGUGCUCUGUGAUACGUCUUCUACGAGUCGAGUUGUUUGGGAAUGCAGCUCAAAAUGGGUGGUGAGUUCCAUCUAAAGCUAAAUAUUGGCGAGAGACCGAUAGCGAACAAGUACCGUGAGGGAAAGAUGAAAAGCACUUUGGAAAGAGAGUUAAACAGUACGUGAAAUUGUUAAAAGGGAAACGAUUGAAGUCAGUCGUGACUGAGAGGCUCAGCCGGUUCUGCCGGUGUAUUCCCCUCAGUCGGGUCAACAUCAGUUUUGUUCGGUGGAUAAGGGCAGUUGGAAGGUGGCACCCUCGGGUGUGUUAUAGCCAGCUGUCGCAUACAUCGGAUGAGACUGAGGAAUGCAGCUCGCCUUUAUGGCCGGGGUUCGCCCACGUUCGAGCUUAGGAUGUUGACAUAAUGGCUUUAAACGACACAAACAUGAAACACGGACCA
rnacentral:rRNA from 1 species